GACGAACCGUGCGAACGUUGUUCGGAAUCACUGGGCUUAAAGGGCGCGUAGGCGGUUUCGCAAGUCCGGGGUGAAAGCCCCCAGCUCAACUGGGGAAGUGCCUUGGAUACUGCGGAACUCGAGCGAGAUAGGGGUCGUGGGAACUUCCGGUGGAGCGGUGAAAUGCGUUGAUAUCGGAAGGAACGCCGGUGGCGAAAGCGCACGACUGGAUCUCUUCUGACGCUGAGGCGCGAAAGCCAGGGGAGCAAACGGG
rnacentral:rRNA from 1 species